rnacentral:rRNA from 1 species
UACGGGGGGGGCAAGCGUUGUUCGGAAUUACUGGGCGUAAAGGGUUUGUAGGUGGCUAAUUAAGUCAGACGUGAAAUCCCUCAGCUUAACUGGGGAACUGCGUCUGAUACUGGUUGGCUUGAGUGCAGGAGAGGAAUGCGGAAUUCCAGGUGUAGCGGUGAAAUGCGUAGAUAUCUGGAGGAACACCAAUUGCGAAGGCAGCUCGCUGGGACGUAACUGACGCUGAGACGCGAAAGCGUGGGGAGCAAACAGGG